CGGCUACAUCAUGUAAAAACACCAAUUCCCAUACGAUCACCGAUGUUGAACAACGUUGAGCCUGGUCAGUACCUAGAUGGAUGGCCGCUUGAGAAUACCAGGUGCUGUAAG